rnacentral:lncRNA from 1 species
NNNNNNNNNNNNNNNNNNNNNNNNNNNNNNNNNNNCCCCGCCCCUCACAAGGCCCGCCCCCUGGCCCUCCUCCUUCGUCUCCUCCUCCCCACUACCCCCCCUUCUCGCUCAGCUGCUCCUUCUGCUCCCUUCCCCGACACCCUGGGCCGUCGAGCCAGGGAGAGUUGCGCGUGCUACCAGGGAAGCCGGGCCAGGCGCGAGGCGCUUGGAACCCGGAGAACUGGAGUGGGGGAGGGGAACACAAUGCGGUACAGAUUGUUCACGCAGUACGGUGUCUUUCCGUCGGCCCCUCGGGGAUCGCGCUACGUUCCAAACCCCUCGUAUCAGGAGCGAUGUGAGAACAGAGGUGACACGAGGACAAGGAAAAGUGGGGGAAGGGAGAUCCGGAAGGAUCUGGCAUACCACGGCGGAGAAGGAGCUGGGAGAUUUGGCAGUGUGUGGCCAGGAAAGGGUUAAUCGCGCAAACCGCAGCUGCGUCGCUCAGAGUUUGACUUGGGCCGCUCGUUUUUGUUCCAUUGUGAACCGUGGCCCCGGCGGCGAGUGCCCGGAUGAUGACGUCACCAAUCUCCCCCCCUUUUCCGGGAUUGUGGGGGGAGGGGUAGCGGAAAGACAAGAUCUUGAGACCACGCGCUGGGCGGUCUCACCCGCGCUUCAGGACCUGUAAGCGCCUGGGCUUCCUCACAACCUUACUGUGACCGACCACCCUCUGAGCAUAGGAGCCCUUAGAACAGCAAAGAAAGAUCUAUAAAGUGACAUGGACGGCACAGCGACAAAACAGUACUGAACAGCAAGAUUAGGUUCUUUUGCCAAAUCAAUACAACUAACAUAACACAAUUAAAAAAAAAAAAGUGUUAGAAUCGACAAAGGCCUUAAGAACCCACUACAUGCACCAUGUAUGUCAUGGCCUAUUUUCUACAUGUUUAUAUUCCAAAGUAAAGGUUAUCAGGCUAAUUUCAAAUAAAUGGUGUGCUUCGAUCAAUUCUAUAUAAUCUACCUCUGAGACCAAAUGAGAAAAGAAAUGCAGUUCCUAAUCUACCACAUUUCCUUCUGACUUAAAAAAAAGUGCUUUUGGACACUAAAUGCAAAAUUGUCGCAGACCCUUAUAAAAUAAGAUUGUUAUAUUUUGUAUGGAAGAGAGUUAGAUUUAGUUAUGCUAUGUUAAUCUAUAACAGAGUUGUUAAAAUGGAAUCCAAACUAAUUGGGUAUGACAGUACAUUACUAGUAUCUUAAAUUUUAAAAUCAUUUCUCUAUGUGUUACUAAACUCAUGUUUUUGCCCCAAAUUAUCUAACAAGGUAUCCAAGAAAAAAUUCAUAGCCCGAAUAAUUCAUAGCACAUUUUACCUUGUUUUUAUAAGUAUUUCCAUGAAUGGCUUUUCUUCUCCAUUAGCUUAUGAGCCCCUAAAGAGCAGACACUACCAUCUGUGUACACUGUAGGUUUAUUAACCGCAUGAUUUUACUUAAUCCUCAGAACCCUGUGAGGUAGCCAAAACUUAUAUUGCUAUCACUAAUUUUAGAUAAACAGAAAGGAUCAGUGAUUUGCCCAUGGAUUGGAAAGGACAGGAUUGGAAAGUGUUGAACAACCGGUCUUUUAACCCUAUUGAAAGUGCACCUUUAAUAAGGAUGUUGGGGCACCUGGGUGGCUCAGUGGAUUGAGCCUCUGCCUUCCGCUCAGGUCCUGAUCCCGGGGUCCUGGGAUCGAGCCCCGCAUCCCUGCUUCUCCCUCUCUCUCUGCCUGCCUCUCUGCCUACAUCUGCC